ensembl:lincRNA
GCUCCCAAGACUUUGGAGACAGCAAGAGACAAAAACGCUGACAGUCACACAGGACCGCUUGAGGUUAAAGCUAUCAGCAAGUGAGGACCUGCCUAUCCCAGCUGCAGAUAAAGGCUGAGGUUUCUUCACAAGUCAGCUGAAUUUGGACACCAUUUUUGAUGGGAAAUAUUCAUUCUGUCCAAUCACAUUUUGAGCAGUGACCUUCUCAUGGAUAAACCCAAGCUGUACAAAUAAUGAUGUACUAGCUUCUCUGACAAUAUCAGCUUUCUAACAAGUCCGCAAUUGAGAAUGGAAGCAAUGCCUAGCCUUCUGAAAGAGGGAGAAAUCGUUAACUUUCCUAACUAAAAGAGAGUGCAUCAUUUUGCCAAGUCUGAAGAAGACUUAACAUGAAAGGAGGACAAACGAAAACACCCUUCUUAGGAUUUUCUUGGAGGGCCAUAGUUGUGAUUUCCACCCACAAUCAAGCAUGACAAUAACAAAGGAAGGAGACAAAAGCCCACGGCCAGCCUCAAUGUCAUGGUGCCAUUGAGACAAG